rnacentral:rRNA from 1 species
AGUGAACGCUGGCGGUAGGCCUAACACAUGCAAGUCGAACGGCAGCACAGUAAGAGCUUGCUCUUACGGGUGGCGAGUGGCGGACGGGUGAGGAAUACAUCGGAAUCUACUUUUUCGUGGGGGAUAACGUAGGGAAACUUACGCUAAUACCGCAUACGACCUACGGGUGAAAGCAGGGGAUCUUCGGACCUUGCGCGAUUGAAUGAGCCGAUGUCGGAUUAGCUAGUUGGCGGGGUAAAGGCCCACCAAGGCGACGAUCCGUAGCUGGUCUGAGAGGAUGGUCGGCCGCACUGGAACUGGGACACGGUCCAGACUCCUACGGGAGGCAGCAGUGGGGAAUAUUGGACAAUGGGCGCAAGCCUUAUCCAGCCAUACCGCGUGGGUGAAGAAGGCCUUCGGGUUGUAAAGCCCUUUUGUUGGGAAAGAAAAGCAGCAGGUUAAUACCCCGCUGUUCUGACGGUACCCAAAGAAUAAGCACCGGCUAACUUCGUG